rnacentral:rRNA from 1 species
CAGGACGAACGCUGGCGGUGUGCUUCACACAUGCAAGUCGAACGAGGUAGCAAUACCUAGUGGCGGACGGGUGAGUAACGCGUGGGAAUCUGCCUUUAGAUGGGGGAUAACGGGUCGAAAGACUCGCUAAUACCGCAUAUGACGAAAGUUGAAAGGAGUAAUCCGUCUAAAGAUGAGCCCGCGUCCGAUUAGCUAGUUGGUAGAGUAAAAGCCUACCAAGGCGACGAUCGGUAGCUGGUCUGAGAGGAUGAUCAGCCACAAUGGGACUGAGACACGGCCCAUACUCCUACGGGAGGCAGCAGUGGGGAAUUUUACGCAAUGGGCGAAAGCCUGACGUAGCGACACCGCGUGAGCGAAGAAGCCCCUUGGGGUGUAAAGCUCUGUCAGCUGGAACGAAAAAAAUGACGGUACCAGCAGAGGAAGCAUCGGCUAACUACGUG